GGCAGAGGGCGGAGAGCAAAGGCACCGGGAGCCCGAAGGGGGUUCGAGAGCCUGGAGAGAAUCAGAAAGAGGGAUGCACGCAGAGGGCCCUGCAGGACUCAGCGGCUCCGGUUUACAGGUGGAGAAACUGAGGCCAGGAGAGGAGACGCGAGUGGCACCGGCGCCGAGCGUCUGCUGCACGCCCGCUGCGUAGCCCCUUCCCAGUCUUCCCACGACCUGGCUUCCGCAGCAAGUGUUUCCGCUCCGCGCUGCAGUUCGCCAAACCCAUGGGCUCAUUUGUUGUGUCUGGGGAGGUCUCCGCGGAGGGGAGGGCGACAUCAAGAGGUUCCACCCUAUCUUUGUGGUUCUCGGAGAGAAUGCCUGCGCUGCUGGGGACCCGCAGGCCUGUCGGUAAGCUCCGGCCUGGUACCAGGCAGUCCCAUACCUGGGGAAAGGAGACCCUGAGCACGGAGUAAGGGGACCAGCUCUGUCGCUUCGAGUCAGAGCUCUGUGGGCCUCAGUUUUACGAUCUAUAAAAUGGAGGCUCAAUUCUGCCCCUUUUAUCUACUCCCUAGAGCGCACUGUCUGAUAGCAUUAUAGUGGCAGCCACAUUUGUAAAUU